ensembl:lncRNA
CUCUUAUCAUCCUUUCCAGAAACACAAAAAUUAAUGCCAGCUGUCUAGUCCCAUACUCUGAUUUAACAGAAGAGGCCCAGAAAGGCUUAGCCAAGUGUUCAAAGACACACAGCCACUUAAAGGAGGGUCUCCAAACCAAAGCAGAGGGCUUGUGCAGCCACAUCAGGACAAGGGACCAAGAAAACCUUCAGAUAUGCCAAGUGCAGCCCCAGGCAUCAGGUCCUACUUGUCAUUUUCGCCCAAAAGCCUAUAUUUCCACACCCAACUCUCCAUGAAGCUUUGAAUCCAGCCAAUAAACAUUUCACUGACAGACCUGCAGACUCUGUUUAAAGAGGGUUUAAGCAGAAGUGGAACAUGAUGAAAUACAAGAGAUGCAAGUUUUAGAAAUGCUCACCCAGUCCUGGUCUAAGGAAUGGAUUCCAGAGGAAACCCCAAAGCAGCUGUUCUCAGAGCCAGAGAGGACCUACUGAAUGGUUGGAACUCUAUUUGUCACAGUGACUUGGAAUCCUACUGGCAUUUCUUGGAUGGGAACAAAAGAAGGAAUUAUUCCGUGUCCCACGGACUCUCAAAGGACCCACUGGACAUUCAGCAGUCCCUCUUCUGGAAAUUUAUCUUACAAUUGCUAAAUGAUGUUCAUAUGAAGUUAUUCAUCACCACAUUAUCUCUAAGAGCAGAAGUCUGGAACCAACCCAACUGGCUAUCAGUACAUAUUUGGUUAAAGAAACUGGUGCACCCACAGAGUGGAAUAUUAUGCAGUUUCAAAAAUGAGAAUGCUUUCUACAUGUAAGUGUGAAAAGAUCUUGAGUAUAUUAAAUUUGUUAUAAAAAGCAAGGAAAGAAAGAAAAAGCAAGGUACAUAACAACAUGUAUGACAUUGCCUUUCUGUAAGAAAGAGGGAAAAUAAGAAUACAUAUUUUUAUUUGCUUAAGAAAACAAUGGAAUAUACACAAGAAACUACUAUUAGUUACUCCCUGUUGGAAAUUAGGGACAGAGUAGAUGGGCACAGGAUUUAGAGUGACGUUUCACAAUGCUUAUUACUUUAAACUAUUUUGAUUUUUGAGCCUUGUGGAUGUAUUACUUAUUCAAAGCAGUAAGAAGACAAAUGUUAAUAGCUCUUAAAACAGUUUAGACACUGGGGCCAGGGCUGGAGUGGAGGCAGUCAUUGUUGGGAUGGAAUGUGAGAGACACUUAGAGUCCGUGAUGCCCUACAGAGGUGGUUCUCAAACCCUCAGAGGUUGCGAUUCAGUAGGUUCAAGUUGGGUCAGUAGGGAGAGGAGGAUCUUUGUUU